rnacentral:lncRNA from 1 species
ACAAAUGUCAAUGUAGUUCAAAUGUCAAUGUAGUUCAAAUUCAAUAUAGAGAUGGCUCUAACUAAUAAUUCUUAUAUAUCACUUUCUCCAUUUUAAUUGAGUGAUUUUCAAGAUCUUUUACACAAAUUAAGUGAAAAAUGCAAUAAAAUAACCUUUUUUCUUAUAACUAUAACAACACCUUUUUGUUUUUGAAGCAUAGCAACAUUCAUGUUAAAAUAGAGUAUAAAACAGUAAAUGUGUAUUUUUUUUAUAAGUAGUCUAAUGACUGAAAUUAAAGAUAAACAAGUGAAACAUCAUGGGUUCGAACCUGCCCUCCGAACCUGCACUCCUGCACCUUAUGUCCCUACACAACCACACAUGAUAAAUGUGCUUACAUGAAGAUAAGGAGGUGUUAUUAAAAAGAAUGCACAAUUUAAUUGGUUUGCAAAGCUUUAAUAUAAUGAGUUGAGUCAUGUGCCAUUUAAAUUAUUAAAAAAAAAAAGUUAUCUUUGUCUUUGUGAAAUUGUGAGGAAACUAGCCAUGUGUAGUUUUAGUGAAUGAAAAUAAAGCCAAGAGGGUAAAGGUUCUGGAAUUUUGAUUCAUUGCAGAGUCAUUAUGAAUUCAAUGGAGUAUCUACCUGCAACAAAAUUACGAAAUACAUAAAUAAGUCAGAAUAUAUAUCAAUUAGCAAAGACAAUUUUAUGAUCAAGAUAAACAGAUAUCCAAUUUCUAAAUAGUAUAAGCGGAUAGGAAAACUUUGCUUAUUCGACGAAUUAUAUGAAACAAUCUUUGGUGAUGCCUUGUUAGUUAUUGGUUUCUCCUCUUUACUCAAACUAGUUUCAAGUAUCAGGUCCAAAAAAGUUAUUUAUAUCUAUUGCUUAAAAUUCUGUCUUUCCUACUAAACUUAUUUUAUUUUGUUCAUGAACAUUAGUUCCCACACAAUGUCCAUUGAUUUUGUUGAACUGAACUCAUUUGAUGCAGCUGCUGCGCCUGUGACGAAGAAUGGGAACAGCAAUAGGACACUGACGUCACAGAAGAAAAAUACUGCUUCAGAUAGAUCCUUCAAACUCUAAACAUAAGGCAACUUUCCGGUGAGAAGCUCAAGUUACACUAUUCCAUGAUUAGAGAUGUCAAUCUUUAUAUCGACCUUAAAUGGCAUAUACGUUCUGCCGAAUAGAAAAUGACAUCUCUUCACAAAUAUCACUCAAGGCAGUCUGUCUUCCAUAGUAAUCAUCUGUUAAAAAGUUAUGCUUACUAAGCUUUUAACUAGCCUAUAUGAUUAGUAUUUUGAAAACCAUAAAAGGCAUUAUCCUAUUAAAAAAAACAGUCCUAAUAUGUGUGAAGAAUUAUCUACUGACAUAAGUCACAAGUUUUGUGAGACUCUUUGGGAGAAUUUAUGAAAACUGCUUAUGACAUUUUAAAUAAGUUUUUUCAGCUUAUUGUCAUAAGUUCUCCAAAUAACUUGUAAAAACAACUUAGCAUAUAUGAAAACAACUUAACUUUAUUUUAUUGUUUUCUAUAGAAAUAGCUUAUGUAAGUUUAUACCAGUACGCUUGUGCUAUAAGUUGUUUAUCCAAUCAGGGCCUUAUUCCCAUUUCUAUGCUUUAGCAUCACUUUUUGGAACCGAAUGUAGUUUGAACAACAUUUACACUCCAUUUAUCCACACUCUUAACCUUAGCUGACCUAUUCCUUCAUGAAUAAAAACUUCAAGAGGAUAAACAGAAAAUGCAAUCCUUACUCUUGCAUUUCAGGUUGAUGCUAUCAAGGGGGGAAAGCAUGUGAACUGCAACCAAAAAAUCUAGAAGCCUUUUAUCACUGACUAGUGUAAAAUUAAGGGCAUAUUUCAAUUGAAGUUGAACUUAGGGUAACACUUUUUCCAACUUUUGCAAACUGACGAGUAAAAAAGGAGUUGCUUCUGCAAACAGAGUUUGCUAAGUAUUGUAAAAAAUGCUGCUAGUUUUCUAAACAUACACUAAAGCAUAUAUGAAAAAAAAAGGAAGUUUCACAAAGAACCCAAAAAAUUGCUUCUGUAUAUUCCCUGACACCACCAAUUUCCUUGACUGAUACAUAAUCAACAGUGUUAUCAAUUGCGGAUAAUGCAAAAUAGUGGUUUGUUCAAAUUCCACUAUGCAGCAGUGCUAUAUAGCUGCUAUUUGAUAAUACUUUGUAAUAAUUAGUGUAUCGCAGAAUAGUAGCGGUUUGUUCAAAACCCACUACGCGAUAGCACCGGUGGCCAUUACAGCUUCUAUUUAACAACAGCCAAUUAGAUGAUCAUUCAACAAUGUAAUCAACCAAAGCCAUCAUAAGAAAAAAAGAUCACACAAACUAUUAAAUAACAUAUACGUGACUAAAUACAGUUCCAGACAAGUAAAAUGAAGUAGGAACUUACUUUCAGAAAGAAGAAACCGAAGUUUGAACAAAAUACUUGGAAAAGAGCCAACAUAUUUUAUUAGUAAGUAUAGUUCUCGCUACUCUAUUUACUUUCCAAUCAUAGAGACUUGCUUGGUCUUCUAGAUUGUUUGCCAAUAUCAAUGUAUCUCCAUUUUCAGAAAAGUGCACUGACAACCCUUGAGUCUAAGACUUCUCAACUCCACAUCAUCUGCUACACGACAAAAUUGGUUAUCGCCAAAUCAUGAGAAAAACAGAGACAGUUCAUGAAAAGGGCAACAUUUGGCUCGACAAGUAGCACUUCACCAAAGUAUCAAAGGGCAGGCAACUUCCUGUGUUCCUGUUAGGAACCCGAGAAUUCUAAUAUACAAGAUUAGAGGAAUGCGUAAAACAAACUCAAAUAUAUAAAGAUAAAGAUUGCAAAGAGCUGAAGAACUUCUUAUUCAUGUAGUGAGAUUCAAAGAGAAGAUACAACAAGUUUACAAUGAAGAAGAUAACCUUGCACACAAAGCAACCCCAAAAGAGCACUCACACUUCUUUCACACUAAAUAAUUCUCUAAUCACAAUUUCAUUAUUCAAAGAUAUCUUUCCCCUAACCAAUGGAAAGCUAUCUAAAGAUUUUCUAAGAAUAACCAAAGUAACAUCUCCUAACAAACUUAUCAACUUACUAACUUUUAACUAAUAUAAUUAUCCAAUAUUAUUUAUCCUAAUACUUUCUCCAUUGCCAAACCAACAAAAAUAUCACAAAUUGCUCAACAAUAAUAAUAUUCCAAUUUCUAAUAAUACCUGAAAUUAUUGUAAAUGGCCAACCAGUUAAGAGCAUCCAUCCAAUACACACCACCAGCCACCCGGGGACAAAUAUAGUGCAACUGAAGAGACCAAGAGAAAACUAAUAAAAUUUAUCAAAGCAUUGCCACCCAAACCGAAAGCUCUCACUCCGGUUCUCACUUGACCUUUAAUGUGAACAUUGAAGUUUAGCGCCAUGGACCACCAUGUUCCAAGUGUCUGAUGAAUUAUUAUAAUCAAACAAAAACUUGAAAGAGCUAGAUAGAUGCCUGCCAAAAUGACAAGAAAGUAACAACAAAAAUUAGUUACCAAAAGUGAAGUUUUUAGAUUUUUAUAAUUAAUUUUAUGAUGACAAAGUUAAUUGAUAAAAAGUAAAAAAACUUCAAACUUUUUAAAAUAUAAGCCAGUAAUUUUCAUUUAGAUUUGUUUGGAUGGCAUGAGAAAUCAAAUUUACAAGCUCCAAAAUUCAAUGGUAAACAAGAUGGAGUUUGGCUAACUUUUUAGCAUCCUAUAAUCAACUUUGGAAUAUAUGAUACCUAGCUUCAUUCUUCUUUUUUUCAACACAACUGAAGGUUCGUACGAAAAGAGAAUGAAGAUGGAAGAGAAUGAAUUUAUUAUUUGACAUCUCUAUUGUGAUUAUCAAUUCUGGAUAGCGACGCAUCGCAACUUAGUCUUAUAAAAGCUAUUGCGAGAUGGCCGCUAUUCGGAAUUUCUUAAACAUAAUAAAUAAUUAUUACUGUAAAAAUAAAUGCUGAAAGAUUAAAACAAUACUCAAUUCAUGAAAUAUUCAUAAAUUAGAAAUAAUUAAAUUCAUAGGUCUUAUGCAAAACAUAAAUGUAAAUAACAAAAGAAAGUACAAAAAAACAAACAAGGUUAAGCAUCAGAGGUUUAAAGUAACUACCAAAGGUUUAUUAUGUAGGAGAUCCAGGGUUCGAUACCUAUUACUAACAAAUUUUUCCUUCCCUUGACAAAUUACCACUAACAUUCCAAAUUCAAAAAAUGGCUAUUAAAAUAAGGUUUUUCUUUUGGAAGCAUUUAGCAGGCCGCAAACACCUGCAAUAUUGGUCGAACAAUGGACGCUACUGCCGCCAGUGGCAGAGCUUUGUUGGGGGAAGGGAUGUACUAUACUAUUCGUGUUAUAUGAUAUAAUACACACUUUGGCGUAGUGGUCGAGGACACUUUUGACCUAUGAUGACACGGGAUCGAAUCUCGGUGAUCUUGGUUUUGCAUCUUUUUUAUUUUCCUUUUCCAAGAAUAAAUAAAUACUCCAUCAAAAUGGAAAUAUUUAGGUUUGAACUCCAAUACUUGAAGGGAAAACAAAGGGUCAUAACCACUAUGCAUAUUUCGACCCCCUCAUAUAACGAGGCCAUGCUCCCCACCGACAGCCGCUAUAGCAAACCACUCCGUUACCAACUCGCAACUGUGGCCACUCGCCACUGCUAUAGCACGCUGUUGGAUACAUAGAUCUCUAAAACUCAAAUUAUCCAAUGCUUAUUGGAAAAGGGAACUACAAAAUUUUAGAGUUUAGAAGAUAUUUUAAGAAGCUUGGAUUUGAUUCAAGUUAAAAGUGAGUUUCCAUAAGAGUAGUGUAAGAAUAAAACUUAAUGCAAUUAUAAAAUGUUGGGGCUGAUUUUCUGUUUGGAAUUGCAAAGUUGAUUGCUUACCACUUAAGUAAUUGAAAUCAACUGCAUAUAUAGGAUAAAAACUAAUAGGGUUUAAAGGCGGAAUAUCCUUUCAUCAAUAAAAUGAUGAAUUCUGUUGCACCUUCAUGUAACUACCUUAGUUAGCUAGAGUUCUAUAAAUAGAGAGAGCAAAUUUGGUAUAAUACAUUCAAGAAAAUUUUAUAAAAGAAUUUGUAACUAAUCGACCAUAGGUAUAAUGCGUAGGAGCAAAUUAUAUAAAAAGAAUAUACAUAAAAUAUCAUAUGAUCAAUCACAUAAGCAUGUAUAAAUGCUGGAACAAACAAAUCUAAAUUAGACCCGAGAAAGGAAAGUCUUUUUAUAUAGAGCUUGGGGAAAUUUGGAAUAAUGCAAUACAGAAGCUUGGUAGAAGACCAAGGAUGCUUCACCAUUCAUGUAAAAUCAAAUAGGGGCUUGUUGCUUCUCACCAUUAGAAUCUGAAUAAUUGAAAGAAUAAGUAUGGUUUUAGACAUGUAAGCAUGUUGCCUACACGGCUUAAUUUAGUAAGAAUGACUACCCAAAACUAGGGGUCGCAAACGGGCAUGUCUGCCCCGUUUAGGCCCGCCCCGCAAAAGCCCGCAAAAAAAUGGGGCGGGCGGGGCGGUCAUAGUUGAGGAUGUGGGCCUAAAAAUGAAUCCAGCUUUCUAUGUUUUUGCCCAAAUCAUAUCCUAGCAUGUAUAAAUAGAACCCUAUAUAAGCUGCACUAAAUGUGUUAAAAGGAGAAAACAUCAACAACCAAGUCUUAUAACACUAAGUGGGAUCGGCUAUACGGAUGAAACGGUGCCAUAAUGUUCUACAAUAUAUCAUAUCUCUAACCAACUAAUUAACCUCUAGAUAUUUCUUAAUAGUUUCGCUCAUAGUUUUUCUAGAUCUUCCUCUACUCAGGUGAUUUGACUACUCUCCAUUUGAUCCACCCUCUUUACUACAAAAUCUACGUCUCAACAAGCCCAAACAACCUAAGCCAAUUUCUUAAUAGUUUCGCUCAUAGUUUUUCUAGAUCUUCCUCUACUCAGGUGAUUUGACUACUCUCCAUUUGAUCCACCCUCUUUACUACAAAAUCUACGUCUCAACAAGCCCAAACAACCUAAGCCAGGUUUCCACCAACUUCUCUAUGAUAGAUGCUACCCCAAUUUUCUCUCUAAUAUCAUUUAUAACAUAGUCUUGUCUAGUAUUACCAAUGUCAUACUUCCGACACAUUAUCCACAUCUCCGCUACACUUAUUUUAUUUUUCUGUUGGUUCUUUACCGCCGAACACUCUGACUCAUACAACAUUUCCGCUUUUACAAAUAUAAGAUAAAAUUUUCCCUUCAACUUGAGCGAUACUUUUGGUAUCACAUAAAACACUUGAGACCCUACUCUAUCUCAACCACCCCACUUGAAUACGAUGGUUUACAACUUCUACUUUUUCUCUAUUUGAUACUGUGGACCCAAGGUAUUUAAACUGCGUAACUUGUAGUAUGACAUAUAAUUGUAGUAUGACAUGAUAUGAUCUCCAACUUUCAUCUCUAAGCUAGGGAUGCUUUAUUCUACUUUUUCUCUAUUUGAUACUGUGGACCCAAGGUAUUUAAACUGCGUAACUUGUAGUAUGACAUAUAAUUGUAGUAUGACAUGAUAUGAUCUCCAACUUUCAUCUCUAAGCUAGGGAUGCUUUGCCUUGUAAAAAAAUUGCAUUCCAUAUAAUCUAAUAAAGAAUCGAUAAGUCCUUUUGAAUUGGAAAAAGAAAUUGAAGAAGAAAUCAUUAAACUUCGUUUGAAGUACAAAUCAUGAUUUGUUCAUCACAAUUAUUGUUUAGUAGAGUGAAAGGAAAAUGAAGCAAUAUCUGAAAUAAUGAGCACCAUGGGAAGAAGUGUGAAUCUCUCAAUUGCUUGCUCUCAUCACUCGGGACUUUGACACCUCCUGCUGCAUCUACGUUAAACAGAAGCAAGAUAGUUUUUCUUUUCCUUGUACCGAUAGGUGUACUCAUUGUUUUAAGUUGGGCUGAAUAUAUGUACCGAUUGAGUUUUUCUGGCUACCUUGUUAGUCGCAAAACCUUUUGUUUAAUGAGUGAGUUGCUGGCAAUGAAUUUGUUGCCACUAUAUAGUUUCCCCUAAAAGGAAAUUUUGUUAAAAUGAUAUUUUGGGAUCACAGGGAAGAUGACACUUGCACUUUAAAUGGGUAAACAUGAGACACAUUAUUAAAGGAGUCACUCAUGUAAUAUUGUGGGAUUUAUUAAGUAAGCUCACAUGAGCUUACCGUAGGAUUAAUGUACACUAGUAUAGCCUUGUAACAAAAUGUUAGUUACAAUUAGAACAUAUCUAACAGAUUGUAACUAACUGACUGACAAGUGUCAGUCAGCCCUAGGUCUUACCUGCUACAGCAGGUCAUCAACAAGAUCUAUAAAUAGAUCUAAUCCAGUGUAACUAACAAUCAAUAAAAUCACAAAAUCACAAUUCAGUUUUCUCCAUUAAUUCCAAGAGAAUCAUGGCCAAUAUUCAUAACUCUAACACACAUUGUGACAAAUAAACCAAAUAAUGAGAAACAAAGAAAAGCAACAUCCGACCAUAGAUCACUAGAUCUUGAGCAACUGCAACAUUAUUCCUAAUAUACUCAAAUGAUCUUGAAAACAGUGCACUUAAAUUAUAAAAAAGAUUUGGAGACAUUCACCUGCUUCUAAACAAACAGGCAGGAGAAGAGUUGUAAAACAGAACAACUAUUAAGCAGUGAGUUGCUUCAAAUGUUUUCGAAGAAACCUAAACGAAAGACAUCAAGAGGGCCAUAAAUGUCUGGUACAAAACGAGUACUGUAACUGUAGCUCCAAAUAAGCUUCUUACUUCUUUUUCUCCCACCAUCCCAGAAUGUACCAUUAAUUAGGGUUGAAGUGCCUGAAGCUAGGAUUGUAGAUCCAUAAUUUAAAAAAUACUCUGUUAGACAUGAGAGUGAAACUGCAAAAUACAAUAAUAAAGAAACAAAAACACAAGAAACAAAAAUUGCAAAAUUCUCUAAAAUGUGCUCAUUUUUCUCAACGAAUAAUAAAGAAAUUAGCUUGACCUGACCAUGACUGCAAGCUUAUAUCAUCGGUGACACAAGGGUUGUGUAAUAAAAAAAUUGAUAGUAUAGCAAUAUCAUUAUCAUUAUAAGAUAUAAAAGUAAAAUAAUUUCCAAUACCUAAGUUAGUGUGGAAAUACUUGAUCUGAUGUGAAAAAAUUCAGAUCAAGAAGCAUACUAUAAAUUAAUUUACAACACAUUCUUAUUUAUGGACAGUUAAAACAUACCGAAAACAUAAUUCUAAACAAGGCAAUAAAUCAGUCGGUUCAAUAUAUUAUUUGUAAGAAAGUUCUGAAGUAAAUGAAAUUAAUAAUGCAAAAACUGAAUUUCCUUUUUGAAGAAACACCUUCAAGCUAAUGAUCUUUAAAAUGUUAUCUAGCUUCUUAUAAAUAAAAAAUAAAAACAAAUUCAUUUGAUUCAAAGAUUGUCAAGCCUUAAACCAUAUCAACCAAAACCAUCAAAUAGAAAAG